rnacentral:lncRNA from 1 species
AGUGAAAACCAAAUUUGAGUAGAACUCUUUUACCAAAUCAAUAUAAACUGGUUCAGACAAACUUAGAAAAGAUUUCCACUCUUGCUUUACUAGUUUAUCUCUAAUUGAAAAACCAUCAUAUCUCAAAAAUUUGAAGUCUACAUUUCUACCCAAAGCAACCUUCCUUGCAGAUAAUGGAAUCUUACUUAGUGUCACUGGAGGGGAUG